rnacentral:rRNA from 1 species
UUGCCAGACUCCUACGGGAGGCAGCAGUGGGGAAUAUUGGGCAAUGGGCGCAAGCCUGACCCAGCAAUGCCGCGUGAAGGAAGAAGGCCCUCGGGUUGUAAACUUCUUUUAUCAGGGACGAAGGAUGUGACGGUACCUGAUGAAUAAGCUCCGGCUAACUACGUGCCAGCAGCCGCGGUAAUACGGAGGAUGCGAGCGUUAUCCGGAUUUAUUGGGUUUAAAGGGUGCGUAGGCGGUCCGGAAAGUCAGCGGUAAAAGCCCGGGGCUCAACCCCGGCGAGCCGUUGAAACUGUCGGACUAGAGACGGCGAGAAGUACGCGGAAUGCGCGGUGUAGCGGUGAAAUGCAUAGAUAUCGCGCAGAACUCCGAUUGCGAAGGCAGCGUACCGGCGCCGGACUGACGCUGAGGCACGAAAGCGUGGGUAUCGAACAGGAUUAGAUACCCGCGUACC